CAAUGUUUUAUAUGGAGUUUGUAUGAAUGCUACUUUUUACUAUUUGUUAAUAUGCUAGUUAAUAUUUAAUAUAGAUUUAUCAAUAACGUGAUUAGACAAUCAAUAAUGAAAUACCAAUCGAUCAGUAUAAUUUCAUAUGAAUUUGGUUGAAGAUCGCGGGGAACAUUACGGAAAACCGUCAUACGGUGGUGUAGAGGCUGGGUGAGAAUGACACGUGUUGCAUCAUCAUCAAGCAGGUACAAUAGCCGCAAGGCUUAAGAGGUGGUUCAGUAUUAUAAAAAAUCGUUGAAAAGGAGGGAGAAAAGGCUUUCGAAAUCAGUUGAGUGAGCAUCCCCGAUACGGCAUCAACUGCUGUGCACUAUUUGUCACCAAUUACAUUCUUCAUUGUGUCAUUAGUUCGCGAUCAUUAUUGUAAAAAAGGAGAGAAAAGGCGAAAGUCAGUCGAGUGAUCAUCUCCGUUGGGUCGACCACUGAUUUACCGAUGUCUCCUUGGUAUGGCGGAUAUCAAAGCACAACACUACUAUCUUAUUUCUCAGCAUCAACCAACGCCGUUCCAGCUUACUACACCAAGGCCCCAAAGUACUACACCAUAACACCAAGGCUUUAGAGUAUUACAAGUUGUAUUGCAGGAUAGAAAAGGCGAAAUAAUCAGUCAAGUGAUUAUCUCCGACACGACAGCAACUGUCGUGAACUAUUUUUCACCAACUGUAUUCUUCAUCGUAUAUAGCGUAAACUGUGGCGUCGUGCUGCUGUUGGUUGUUGUCCUCAAAUACUACACCACCGAGGCUUCAGAAUAUUACACUACAACUUAUGCUGCCCCGAGCUGCAUCACCAUUUAAAGCUGCUGACUACUAAGGUGAAGCGUCCAAAUACUGCACCACCAAGACUAACCACUACUUAUGCUGCCCCGAACUAUUACACCGAAGCCUCGAAGUAUUUUUCUGCCCCGAUGCCGAGUCUUUCACUAGGGCCCUGGCGUACUACACAAAAACCUACGUUGCCCAAGCUCACUACACCAUAGCUUCCAAGUACUACACCACCAAGGAAAGGGGAAAUCAUUCGAGUGAUCAUCUCCGAUUCGACAACUGCUGUGCACUAUUUGUCAUCACCUGCAUUCUUUGUCGUAUCACCAGUUUGCAAUCAUUGGUAAAUUUUCUGUUUUCUACAUGAAGUUGUGAAUCAACUUUAUUUUAUCAUAUGCUAGUUAUUGGAUACAUGUUCAAAUUGUUUAAUGUCUUGUAAACUAUGGCGUCAUGCUGCUGUUGGGUGUUGAAUCGUUGAUGGCUGGUUCGAUAAUUGGUGUACCGAUGUCUCCUGAGUAUGGUGGAAAUCAAAGCACAUCACAUCACAUUGCCGUCUUAAUACUCUACAUCAACCAACGCUGCUCCAGCUUAGUACACCAAGGCUCUAAAUUACUACACCACUACCUUCAGAAUAUUACAAGUUGUAUCGCAGAAGAGAAAAGGUGAAAUCAUUAUUCGAGUGAUCAGUUCCGACACGAUAAGAACUGCUGUGCAUUAUUUGUCAUCAACUGCAUUCUUCGUCGUAUCACCAAUAAGCAAUCAUGGUAAACUGUGGCCGUGUGGCGUCGUUCUGCUGUUGAUUGUUGACCUCAAGUACUAGAACACGGAGUCAUCGAAGUAUUAUUCUGCCCCGAGCCCGAGUACUUCACUAAGACCCUGGAAUACUACACUGCAACCUACCUUGCCUCAGCUCACUACACCGUGUCUCCUAAGCACUACACCACCAAGGCACCUGAAUACUAGACGACUACGUGUGCUGCCCCAACCGACUACACUGAGACUCCCAAGUAUUACUCUGCUUCAGUUACUACGUCGUGGCUCCAACUUACUACACCACCAAAUCGGCUGAAUGUUACGCCGAAGUGCCUAAUUACUAAACAGCCCAGAGCUACACAAUCACCACUGAGGCGGCGGAGUACUUCGUAGCCCCGAAUCACUACACAGCUGCUUCUUCUUACUACGUUGAACUAAAAUACUACACCGAGACUCCAGUUUAGUACAACCUACGCUACAUUUAACUUUUAUAUUGAAGCCUCCAAGGACUACACCGGAAAGGUCGAAUUUUACACAACGUACGCUGCUCCAGUUUACUACAUCGAGGAACCUAAUCGAUAAAAGGAGAGAAAGGCGAAAAUCUGCAACACGACAACAUCUGCUGUGCACUAUGUGUCAUCAACUGCAUUCUUCGUCGUAUCACCAGCAGUUUGCAAUCAUGGUAAAGUAUGGCGUCAUGCUGCAGUUUGGUGUUGAAUCAUUGAUGGUUCGGUCGACAACUGGGUAUGGCGGAUAUGAAAGCACAGUAUUUUCGUCUUAUUACUCAACAUUAACCAACUAUUAAUAACAACAUCAACCAUCGCUGCUCCAGCUUACUACACCAACAAGUCUUCAGAGUAUUAAAAAUUGUACCACAGGAGAGAAAAGGUGAAAUAAUCAGUCGAUUAUCAUCUCCGAUACGGAAACAACUGCCGUGCAUUAUUUGUCACCAACUGCAUUCUUCAUCGCGUAAAGGGUAAAUUUUCAGUGUUCUACAUGGAAUUGUGAAUCAGCUCUCCUUUCUUUUAAUCAUGUCAGAUAUUAUUGCAUUUAUGUUCAAAUUAUUUAUUGUUUAAACUGUGGCGUCAUGCUGCUGUUGGUUGUUGUCUUCCUAAAAUUUUUAAGAAAAUUUGGAUGAAGAAAUAUGGACGAAAAUGACAUGAAGAUUUAUUGUAAUAAGGAAGAAAUUUGGAAAAAAUAUUAAUAGUUUAAUACUGUAUUGUAUGCUUUAAAACUUAGUAAAUGUUUCUCUUGUUUUUAACUUUUCCUGUUAAAUUCUGUUCCCUUUCUAAAUACAUUACACAAUUACUAAAUGUAUAUUAUGCUUGCUUAUUUUAUUAUUUAAUUUCUAAAAUCACAAUUAAUUAAUUAUUAAGAUGCCUAAUGUUAAUUGAUAAUAUCAGAUAGUUACCUGGACAAAGCAGAAAACUGUGCAAAAAGUGCAAUAGCCAUUUUAACUAAGGUAUAACUAAUCAUAAACAUUUUUUUUCAAUCUCAUGAUGCUACAAAAAUUUUCAUCAAAUCAACCAAGUCCUCAUUCGACUCGACCAUCACCCUCCUCUUCCUUCUCCUACCCCAAUGGGUGACAAGUGCACACCGGGAGCGUUGGUUAGUACUGUCAGUUUCCAAACUAUAACGGUGGUGAGUAUCUCACUCUGAAAGGCGAAAAUAUUUAGUUUUAAAUUUCAAGUAAUAUAUAGCAACAGCAAGUAAUACCUCAAAUCUAUCAAUGUAGGAAAGGAAUCUUGAAAAUUUACCACAAUUUGACAGGGGAAGUCAACCUGAAAUAUUAUCAUAGAAAUUAAAUGACAGUAGGAACUAUUUAGCUUUGGAAGACGUAGGCACAUAGCUUGGGUUAGUGGAUUGGAUAACUUGAUUUCUAUGGUCACAAGCACCUAAGUCACAUGAAAACUUCAGCUGAAAUUUAAGCUGAAACAUUAAGUCAGAAAGCAACAAGAACCAUUAGCUAUAUGUUGUGUUAUCUAUUAAUUAAAAACAGUCCAACUUACCUAAAAUUCCUAAUCUAAAUUUGUUUAGAUUUUUGUAAGUAUCAUAUGAUGAUGUAUUUUGUAUUGUGUAACUUAGGACCAGACGAAGCCAGGCAAGCUGUCACAUUCCAAUGCUGCUCUCCAAUUAUCAACUGCCAUUGUAACCUACAGAAGAAAAUAAAGAUUUAUCACAGAUGCCCAGUCCCUAGACGCCUAGACGAGUGAUGAUCGAACGAACCAGGAACAUGCUGUUGUUGUCAGAUAGGGUAGUGUGGAA